UACGUAGGGUGCAAGCGUUGUCCGGAUUUAUUGGGUUUAAAGGGUGCGUAGGCGGCCCGUUAAGUCAGUGGUGAAAUACAGCAGCUCAACUGUUGAUGUGCCAAUGAUACUGGCGGGCUAGAGUACAGACGAGGUAGGCGGAAUUGACAGUGUAGCGGUGAAAUGCAUUGAUAUUGUCAAGAACACCGAUAGUGCAGGCAGCUUGCUAGCCUGUAACUGACGCGGAGGCACGAAAGUGUGGGGAUCAAACAGG
rnacentral:rRNA from 1 species